rnacentral:rRNA from 1 species
GAUGAACGCUGGCGGCGUGCCUAAUACAUGCAAGUCGAGCGAAGCGGGGACGGGUGCGUAACACGUGGAUAACCUCCUAUAAGACUGGGGUAACCUCGGGAAACCGGAGCUAAACCGGAUAAUUAUAGAUGGAUCCGCGCCGCAUUAGCUGGUUGGUAAGUUAACGGCUUACCAAGGCAACGAUGCGUAGCCGACCUGAGAGGGUGAUCGGCCACACUGGAACUGAGACACGGUCCAGACUCCUACGGUAGGCAGCAGUAGGGAAUCUUCCGCAAUGGGCGAAAGCCUGACGGAGCCACGCCGCGUGAGUGAUGAAGGUCUUCGGUUCGUAAAACUCUGUUAUUAGGGAAGCGGUACCUAAUCAGAAAGCCACGGCUAACUACGUGCCAGCAGCCGCGGUAAUAC